rnacentral:rRNA from 1 species
UACGUAGGGGGCAAGCGUUGUCCGGAUUUAUUGGGCGUAAAGAGCUCGUGAGCGGCUUGGCAAGUCGGGUGUGAAAACUUCAGGCUCAACCUGGAGCGGCCACUCGAUACUGCUAUGGCUUGAGUCCGGUAGGGGACCACGGAAUUCCUGGUGUAGCGGUGAAAUGCGCAGAUAUCAGGAGGAACACCAGUGGCGAAGGCGGUGGUCUGGGCCGGAACUGACGCUGAGGUGCGAAAGCGUGGGGAGCAAACAGG